rnacentral:lncRNA from 10 species
AACGUUCUGUGUCUUGACUGAAUCAACACAAAUACGGUGGUUAUGAUGUACUAGAGUUUUGAAGAUGGUACCACUGGGGCAAACUGGGUAAGGGAUCUCUCUCUGUUACUUCUUAAAACUGCAUGUGACUCUAUAAUUGUCUCAAAAUAAAAAGCUUAACAAAAAAUAUGCAAAAAUCUAAGUUAAGAACAUCUAGCCAGUACUUUUUGUUGUUGCUGUUUGUUUUGUUUUUUGUUUUUUUUCUACCAUCUAGCCAGUACUGUUAAUCAGUAUAUUAUCUGGUUUCCUAGACAAUGAAGAGUCCGCCACGUGAAGAUCUGGAGAAAGAUUUGAGAUAAGAGAGUUCCAGACAGGGAAACAAGCAAUUGAGAAAGCUUAAUAGGAAAACAAAACUAUCAUGUUGAAAAAACAGAAAGUAGACUGGUGUCACUGGAGUAUAGUGAGAGACAGGCAGAUAAUAAAGAUGAGAUGAAAAGGACAGGCAUGGGCCAGGUAAUCUAAAUCUU